rnacentral:lncRNA from 1 species
CCAAUGUCAAAUGUCUAGAAUAUUGACCAAGAUAUACAUAUUUGAGAUUCAGAUACAUUAAAAUUUAUAGAAUAGCUUGUUCAAAAGAACAAGUACCUAAAUUCUAUAUCAGGUACAAGGAAAUGAAAGUUCCAUUACACAAUGGUAAAUAAUCAUCAGACAUAUCUAUCAGACUAAUCUAACAAAACAAGGAAUAAACUAAUGUAAUAAAAUCUUCCAUCUUCAAUCCUUAGUUUCUUCUUACCCCUGACUCGUUUAAUCUGCUUAUCUGAAAAAAAUAAAAAGGAGUGGGAUGAGACAUAAAGCCUCGGUGAGUCCCACCUAUCUUAGGGUGAUACUAAUAUCCUUUGUCCUGACAGUUGAUUAAUUACAUAAACAUAUACAUAUUCAUUUCACGAUUAUUUUCAGUAUAAUGCAAAUAAAGUGUGACACAAAAUUAUUUGUCUGAGUUGAUUUUACGGAAUAAUUCGAGGUGAGUAGUCUCGAACCAUUCCCUUACAUACCCGGCUAAAUUCCCUAUCAUUUCGGGGCUAAAGCGUACGGUCAUACCUCAUCUUAUCGUUGUGUGAAAUUCUAUAUAGAAUUUCAAUCCAGCUCCAACUCCUACAUAAGGAAGCCUUUCUGGUGCCUUAUAGACCACAACUUAACAUAUUAUUCAUCAUAGACAUUUAGCAUUAUAAAUCUAACACUUGUGGCCCAAAGUCCACUAUAUUUCAAGAUCAACUGUCAAUAUUCUUACCUGUCCUGAAUUAACUUAUAAUGCAUCUAGUCCAUAGUUUUCUGUUUGUUUUCCCUACCCAACCUAUGCAAUUUAUUAAGCUAACUACUAUAUUUUUCAUUCCCAUAUGAUCUUAUUCCAUUAGGGACAUUACGGUGUCCCAAAAGCGUCCGAAAAUGCAAAACAGUGCAAACGGGGCUGCUGGAUGUAGCUCCAGGCACAGGAACAGUCUGGGAAACACUGUUAUUUGCGCUUCCAGCGCAGUGGUCCGCGCNNNNNNNNNNNNNNNAGAGGGCAGAAUGCCCAGGUGGCCAGUUUCCUGCAAAAAAAUUCAGUUUGUACCAUUAUCCUCACACAGUCCUAGCCUUACUCUAGAUGCAUUUUAGUGACAAUUUAGGCCAACAGUUAGUAGCACAACAAGGGCAAGGUAAGUCACCAAGAUUCAUAAAUAACAUGCAUUAAAUCUAUACAAUUUGAGAGAACUAAUCUAAAGGGGCAAUCUCAUCAAAGUGCAAUUUCUCAUGAAAUAGUUUCUAGUUCUAACUACCCGAAAACCCAAUUCUCCAUGAGAAUAGUGGGGAGACUAUAUUGGUAAGGAUUUCUAUCUGUGGAACUCACCUCUGUAAUUGUAGCUCUCUCAACACUUGAUUAUUACAACCACAACAUAGUCUACAUCAAAAGCUUGUUCUCCAAUCUAGUCUAGUGCUCCAAUUGAAUCUGUCUUAUAAUUCUUUUCAAUCCAAACUUCCAACCUCAUGUGUCAAGGGAACUUCUGGAACUAAAAAGGAAAACGAAACUUCAAGCUUCAGGUACCNNNN